UGGAGUGCUGCUGCACGGUUACUAAGAUCUUAUUAUCCUUUAAUCACACCAGCUGGGCAGAAUGGCCUUGCUAGUGCACUUACUAAGUCAGCCCAGAGGUUGCCUUCCGGAACUCGCUGUGCUGAUCCAGCCUUACCUUUCGUAAGGUUAUAUUCCUUUCCUCCCUAUCCCUGUCAAAUGGACAUUGUAAAACGCAAUCCAGCAAGAGAAGACUGG
rnacentral:misc_RNA from 1 species